CACAAGCGGAGGAACAUGUGGUUAAUUCGAUGAUACGCGAGGAACCUUACCUGGGCUUAAAUGUAGAGUGUAUUGGUGGGAAACCAUCAUUCCCUUCGGGGCUCUCUGCAAGGUGCUGCAUGGUUGUCGUCAGCUCGUGCCGUGAGGUGUCGGGUUAAGUCCCAUAACGAGCGCAACCCUUAUCGUUAGUUGCCAACGGGUAAUGCCGGGAACUCUAGCGAAACUGCCGGUGUAAACCGCGAGGAAGUGGGGAUGACGUCAAAUCAGCACGGCCCUUAUGUCCAGGGCUACACACGUGUUACAAUGGCCGGUACAGAGGGCAGCUACCUGGAGACAGGAUGCGAAUCUCAAAAGCCGGUCUUAGUUCGGAUCGGAGUCUGCAACUCGACUCCGUGAAGCUGGAUUCGCUAGUAAUCGCGAAUCAGAAUGUCGCGGUGAAUACGUUCUCGAGUCUU
rnacentral:rRNA from 1 species